rnacentral:rRNA from 1 species
AUACGGAGGGGGCGAGCGUUAUUCGGAAUCACUGGGCGUAAAGCGUGCGUAGGCGGUUUAACAAGUCAGAAGUGAAAGCCCAGGGCUCAACCCUGGAACUGCUUUUGAAACUGUUAGACUAGAAUUCGGGAGAGGUCAGGAGAAUUCCUAGUGUAGAGGUGAAAUUCGUAGAUAUUAGGAGGAAUACCAGUGGCGUAGGCGCCUGACUGGACCGAUAUUGACGCUGAGGUACGAAAGCGUGGGGAGCAAACAGGAUUAGAAACCCUAGUAGUCC